ACCAGACUCCUACGGGAGGCAGCAGUGGGGAAUAUUGCACAAUGGGGGGAACCCUGAUGCAGCGACGCCGCGUGGGUGAAGGAGCACCUCGGUGCGUAAAGCCCUAUCGGCAGGGAAGAAACAGACGGUACCUGACUAAGAAGCCCCGGCUAACUACGUGCCAGCAGCCGCGGUAAUACGUAGGGGGCAAGCGUUAUCCGGAUUCACUGGGUGUAAAGGGAGCGUAGACGGCGACGCAAGUCUGGAGUGAAAGCCCGGGGCCCAACCCCGGGACUGCUCUGGAAACUGUACGGCUGGAGUGCAGGAGAGGUAAGUGGAAUUCCAGGUGUAGGAGUGAAAUCCGUAGAUAUCUGGAGGAACAUCAGUGGCGAAGGCGACUAUCUGGCACAUAACUGACGCUGAGGAGCGAAAGCGUGGGUAGCAAACAGGAUUAGAUACCCUCGUAA
rnacentral:rRNA from 1 species